AGAGUUUGAUCCUGGCUCAGGAUGAACGUUGGCGGCGUGCCUAAUACAUGCAAGUCGAACGGUAGUUGANCAUUCGUGCUUGAUGAGAGUGGCGAACGGGUGAGUAACACGUAACUGAUCUGCCCUUUAGACUGGGAUAACCUUUGGAAACAGAGGCUAAUACCGGAUGAGUUCGCGGUAGUUAGAGAGCCGUGAGGAAAGGCUAAUGCGCUAAGGGAUGAGGUUGCGGGCCAUCAGCUAGUUGGUGAGGUAAAGGCUCACCAAGGCGAUGACGGUUAGGGGAUCUGAGAGGGUGGCCCCCCACACUGGGACUGAGACACGGCCCAGACUCCUACGGGAGGCAGCAGUAAGGGAUAUUGCACAAUGGACGGAAGUCUGAUGCAGCGACGCCGCGUGGGUGAAGAAGGUUUUCGGAUCGUAAAGCCCUUUUCUAUGUGACGAGAGAGGACGGUAGCAUAGGAAUAAGUGUCGGCUAACUACGUGCCAGCAGCCGCGGUAAAACGUAGGACGCGAACGUUAUCCGGAGUUACUGGGCGUAAAGCGCGCGUAGGCGGUUGGUUAAGUUACCUAUGAAAGAUACNGGCUAAACUUGUAUUGGUUAGGUGAAACUGGCUAA
rnacentral:rRNA from 1 species